rnacentral:ncRNA from 1 species
UUAAAAGUAAUGAUGGAGAAGAGUAGAAGAGACACUAUCUCUAGAGAAGGAAAUUCUAAGGCUGGAAGAUUUCCUGAUAUAGGCUUUUCGAAGGUAGCUCCUAAACUGUAAGAUUGAAAGCAAGACAAGUAGAUCAAACCGGAAAAAUCCGUUAUCAUUUUGAGAGCUCAUUUUGAGAAUUAAGGUGGUACCGCGAAGACAGACCUUCGUCCUUUUC